GAUUUUUGUAAUACACAUGGAAGUUAUUUUCUUUUUAAUGCUUACAUAGUUUCCUUCAAUCAAGAAAAUUUAGGUGAGGGAGAAUAUAUAAAGACUGAAUGUAAAUGGGUCAGCGUCGCAUACAAUGAAAAUAAUAAGCUUCUCUAAAAUCCUAUUUGACACAUCUGAAACUCGUUCUCUCCAUGGUUUUCUCAUCAAACGCAGCACAAGAAAUCAUCAAGCUAAUUGGAUUGUUUUAGUUUGUCACAGAAAUCAGCUUAACUUGCAUACAGAAAAUUGUCUUAUAUAGAGGUUAUUGUAACUUACUAAAGAAGUCAAUUAAAAUAGAGGAAUUUUUGGCUUUCAACAGCUCUUCAGCCUCUGCAAGUGAGUGAAUAGCUGAAAAAUAGCUUUCCAUGUUUGAAGUAUGCAGUCCCACUUUGCAAUAUCCAGAAAUUUUCCUAGGAAACUGGUAUUCGAAUUGUCGGAGGGCCAGACUUCAUGUCCUCCAAUAUAAGAUUCAAGAGAGCUAGAGUUAUGGGACCUUCUUUGCCGUUGCCAAUGAUCUGGUCAUCCCACUGCACCACAGGGCGAACAAGAAUUCCACUGCCAAUAAGCAUCAUUUCAUCUGCUUUCUUUCCUUUCUCUACAGUCACAUUACCCAUCUUCACUCCAUGAAGUUUACCCUCCCUGACCAGCACCUCAGCUAGAGUCAAAACUCUCUUAGCUGUGCACCCACUUAGAAUUUUGUCAAAGUGUGGCAUCAGAAGUUCUUUAUCUUUGGUAACAAAUGCCACAUUCAUAUUAGGUCCUUCAGCAAUGAACCCAUCAUAAUCCAGCCAAAUGGCUGCAAAUGCACCAUUCUCUUCAGCUUCCAUCUUUGAAAGCACAUUCGGAAGGUAAUUUACACUCUUCAUGGUGGCAAACUGUGGGUGUUUUAUAGGGACUGAUGAAGUUACCACCUUAAUGCCUUUUGAAUCAAAUGGUGACUGAUCUUGGAUAACAAUGGCAUAAAGGGCUGGCUGAUGACAGCCAGAUGGAGAUAGUUGGAAAUCACCAGGUCCUACUGAGAGCCAGUAUCUUAGUGAUCCUUUCUGACACUUGGAAGCACUCACUGUUUGCAUGAGUAUUCUUCUUAUACUUUCCCGAUCAAAAGGAAGAUUAAUUUUGGCCAUAGAUGCUGAUCUUAGAAUACGGUCAAGGUGUUGGUCCAAUUCAUAUAGAUGUCCAUCCAUUAUUGCAGCAGUAUCAAAGACACCAUGCCCCCUAUGCACCAUAUGAUCAUCCAUGGGUAUCACCAUAGCUGCUGGAUCUGUUGUUAUUCCACCAAAAAUGCUAGAGUACAUUGCCAGGAAUUGCUGCUUCCCUUUGUGCUUUUCUCUGUUAGUUCUUAGUCUUUCAAUAACCUUCAGAAAUAGAAAGAAACCAUGAAACUUGCUAAGAAAACAAUACAAAUGACCAAAUGAAAAAAACUGAACUUCCUGAAAUAAUCAUAAACUCUGACUUUACUAAGGGCAUCUUAGCCUUCAGCAAUGCGAAAAAGAAAAUCAAAGAAAACAAGCAGGAAAAGGGAAGACAAUAAACCUCUGAACAAGUCAGAAUUGGAACAUCAAAUGUUUGAGCAGUAGAAUCUGCCACCAUAAACUACCAUAUUAGUCUUAAAUUUCACAUAGUAUACAAGCAAUUGAUAGCAAAACUAAACUGAUUAAUUAAUUAAGCCAAAUGAUGAGAUCAAAGCAUCGACAUACCAACCAAAGCUUCAGCUUGAUGAGAACUUCUAACAAUCAUCUGUUCAGUAAUCGACCCACGUUGCAAACAUUGAAACCCAAGUCUCCAAAAUGAAAGAUUUCGCGAUAGUAGACACGAAUUAUGCAAAUGAUCAGGGAGGCUUGAGGGGAUACGCCAGUGUUGCCAAGUGGGUUUUGGUAGAAAAGCUGUGGAAGACGAAGCCAUGGAAGCGAAUACUGUGGAAUAGCAGACCCAGAGGAAUAGUACGAUCAAAAUAUACUGUACAUCAACGGGUUGAUCUUCAUGAUUUGAUAUUUGUAUUGAAAUGUUCAAGUGUCAACAUUCCGACGAAAAAGCCAACGUAAAUCCCCCUUGAGUGCAAA
rnacentral:misc_RNA from 1 species